GCUUCAUCCUGGGCUUUGCCUUCCCCCUACUCUGGUACCUUGCUACUGUGCUUUACUUAUGCAAGUACUACCUCAGGGAUCCAAGAGAGAGAGGAGGCCUUGCAGCAUCUGCCAUUGCUGCUUUGAUAUGCUCCGUUGCCGCAUUGAUCGCAAUACUUGCCAUGAUUUUUUAGCUUGUCCCAUGGGCUAAAAGAAGUCUGUUUAUACGCAUAAUCAUGUGAAGAAAGCUUGCUGAGGUGGUCUUGGUCUUCCCAGAUGGCGAAUUUAUGGCCAUUAUCAAUUCGACAUGAGCAGCUACCCGAUCAUUUUAUGAGAUGAGCAAUUGGAUUGUCGGAGAGAAUGCGAUGAAAAAGCUCCUCAGCAACUCAAUUUUUUUUUCACUUUGGAUUUUCCGACAUGCAUAGAUCUGUCACGUUUUGCUAAUGGCAUCCAUCGUCAUACGACAAGGUUGCAAAUGUGCCUUCGAUUCAGAUCAGUGAAAUGGAGAUCAGACUGUCGUUGCUGCUUUGAGUUA